ACGCUCGACACCUACGGGAGACAGCAGUGGGGAAUAUUGGGCAAUGGGCGCAAGCCUGACCCAGCAACGCCGCGUGAAGGAUGAAGGCUUUCGGGUUGUAAACUUCUUUUAUCAGGGACGAAACAAAUGACGGUACCUUGAUGAAUAAGCCACGGCUAACUACGUGCCAACAGCCGCGGUAAUACUGAGCGGGCGUGGCGAAGGACG
rnacentral:rRNA from 1 species